GAGAGCCGUAUGACGGGAAACUGUCACGUACGGUUCGGGAAAGGGGGAGUAUUCUUGGUAACAGAGAUGCUUCUCCAGUUCAU
rnacentral:ncRNA from 1 species